GUAUGUAUAUUCACUUGUGUUCAUCUACCCAUAGGGGCUGCUGGUGUACUACCAUCAUCCCCAACACUCCUGUUCAGAAGAUGGGUGAGGAAAGUGGAAAGCCUAACCACUCAGCCGAUGACCAGUGGGAAAAAUGAGCUACAAGAUCACCUGAUCUUCAUCAGUGAGAAAGCUUUGCACAAGAGCACAUGACAUCUAAUGAAGCAGUAGAAUUCUCCAGCUUUGGAAGGAGAGGUUGCCAAAGGGGAUCCCACGGGUCCAUGAGAGGCUCCAGGAGAGGCACCCCAGAAAAGGACCAAGCUGGGCAGAACUAGUUAACAGCAGGAAUGUUUUCCUGGCUGCUCAGGCUAUUUCAGAAAGAGAAUGGCGAUGAAGGAGAGACCAGACCAACAGAGAAGGAAGAGGGAAUCCUUUCUCAUGAAAAAGGAAGAAGGAAAUCAUUCUGGAGAAGGCACAGGUCUGCUAGAAAUACUUCAACCCAAAAUUCCAA
rnacentral:lncRNA from 1 species